rnacentral:rRNA from 1 species
AUGGGUUAUGGAGAUCGUGUGAUGGCUGCCGUCAGCCAUCCAGGCAAAUUGCAUUUGAGAGACGACACGCCAAACAAUAUAAGAGAAUUUUUGGAGAUUGACGGUAUAUAUGUAACUACAGCUCAAGUCAGUAGCCAUCUACAGAAAUACAGAAGCGACUGCCGUAAGGGUGGGCUAUCAACCAUGCCAAGCUCUAGGCCACCACAUUCUAAUAAUACUUCCAAGAACUCUUCGGAAUCUCAAGAAAGUGAGGGAAGUUACAGAUUCCAUAUGAGGUCCCAGGGAGCAAGAGAUAUUAACCAAACCAGUUGGCUAAGCGGUGGUGCAUCACAAGUUGACUAUGUCAUUCUUGGAAAUGGGAACCACACAACUAAUCUUGGUGCAGGUGCUGCUUAUGGUCAUGGUUAUCAUCAUGGUAAUGCCAUUGGCGACAUAAAUGGUUAUGAUCAUCAUUAUGCUACUCUCAGUGCUAAUGAUUAUGAUCAUCAUUAUGGUAAUGGCAAUAAUAAAUCUUAUGGUUAUCCUCACGGUAAUUCUAGUGAUAAUAGUUAUGGUAAUGGUAAUGAGGGUCGUGGUGGAGUUAUAACAAGUGGAAGCAUGGUAAGUGCAUCAUUGUCGUCCAACCUAGCACCAGCAGUACAACAUGGAAUGCGUGGAGAUGCUUCUGCUGGCCAGACCAGCGCAGUGCAGCCUAAAAACCUUGACAGUGUUUUUCUCAACUGGGGCAACACUAGUUCUGAAACAGCCGGCACAUCAGGUGGAGUUAAGGGAGAAAUUGAUUGCACCAAGAGUUGUUGCAUGAGUGAUAUUGGUGUUAAGUCCAAACAUGAAGAUGGUAACCUAGUGAUGGACAAAGAUGCAAGCUUACUGGAUGCUCACCGCAUGAAUUAUUAUCAGUUUUAA